UUAUACAUCUGCAAAUGUCUAAAGGUCACACCCAUAUCAGACCAGGAUCAAAAGAGGACAGGUAGCGCUUGCCUUGAUCCUGAUGAAGUCAGGCCUGCCCUGAAACGGGAUACUCCAGGCAUUUAACUUGAAUAUGGAUCCCAUUGCCACUGACAGAGGUAGCCAGUUGCACUGGGUAAAGGGGGGAGGGGGCUUCAUUUCCCCCAGUAUUUUUGGGCAGGGGGCAGUGCCACCCCAAUACUGAGGGGGCCGCUGUCCCCGCAGCCAUGUCACCCUCCAAGUGCCCCAGCCUCAGCCUCUGCACAGCAGCCCAGAAGCCAGGCAGUGGCUGUGACAAGCGUGGGCAAUCUUUGCUUUGCUCAUCCCAGCUGCAGCCUGGCAGCUCAGAAGCCGGGCGGGGCUGGGACAAGCAAGCGUGGAGAUCACCCUCCACAUGCUCCGCCCCUGCCCGGUGGCAUCAUGUGACAUGUUGGGUGACAUGUUGCAUGACUGCGCCCCCUCAAUGUGGGGGGUAAGUCGGCGCCUGCUGUUCAACUAUGGAUUUUAGAUACCAUUUUGGCAGCAGAUUUGGAGACCGAGAGAGGGCCUAUGUGCAAGACAGUCCACUGGGCAAGUACCCUUGGGACUCUCCUAUUCAUUUUAAUGUGGAAGAUUCCCAGGGGAUUCCCAUGUUAAUUAGCCAUUUGGCUUUCCUGCUUGAGGCACUAAAAUCUCUUGUCCUACGCCUUAUAAUCGCCACGAUUUUAACCCUCACAGUUAGCAUACUGCCAUAAACAGAACAGGAACAAAAUGGAUGGCACACACCAGAGGGACCUUAAUCAGACUGUUUGUUUGAAGGGCAGCUGAAUAAAACACUCCAUAUUGGCUCAAGGAAUGGAAAAAGUGACACUUUUUGAAAAACAAAUCAUGAAACCAGGCUUUCAUGGGAGCAAAGGUGUCUGACCAUUUCUGAUGUCCCAGAGGAAGUGGAGAGCAAACUUCAAGAUAUUGGACAAAGGGGGAGCAAAUUUUUCCCCCAGCAUCACAAAUCACUGGUUGCAAGUAUGAGCAUGACUGUUCAUGUCUUCUUGCAUAUAAAGGUAUUCAUUAAUGCAAUAGUCUUGACAUAAGAGCGAAAGUUCCAUUCUUAGUUCAGUGAUAUCUUAUAAUCCACCAAACGAUCAUCUGGAUUCCAGUAUGUCUGUUGUGGUUUUGGCCUGUUUCAAACAUUUGCACAGAAGUACUGAUUUCAAGAUGCUUAUUGCUGAUUGUGUGAGAAUGACUUUUCUCCCAUCUAGGCCAUUUAACAGUCAAACCUUGUUAAUUACGUUGCAUCACUCCACUUAACAUUCUGUAUUGCAAAACAUAUCAUUUCCCGCACCUUAACAUUUUAUCCGUCUGAGUACAUAUAUUAUUACAAUGUUCAAAAUUGUCGUUACAAGCAGUUCCAAAUCCAGGCAUGGCAGCAUACACUUAGGUUGCCAGUCAGAACUGUGGGGGCUGCACCUGGCCCCCCAGUUUUUCUGGGCUCCCCUCUACUUCCUCAACUUGAGCUAUUUUCUUUGGGGAUGUGCAAGGAGCUAUGUAGAUCAUUGAAAUACUGCCCUAUUAAACUGGAAAUCAUUCUCAGCUGUUUAAUGCCCUCUGAUAAUUCACCCAGUGUUGCCCACACAAUCAGGCCUUAAGGUGUUUUAAAAUGAAACCUGAGACUGCAAGGAUGUUUGUGUGAAAUGUAAAGGGAGCCUUGACUUAUAGAGCCUUUUCGAUCUAAAAGUCUUAUCUCUGCCCUCAUCAUAGAAAUGUUGGAGUUUUCCCUGUUUGUUUGUACAACAGUGAAUGAGUGAUGCUCUGCCAUGCUUGGUCACACACACACACACACACACACACAGAGAGAGAGAGAGAGAGAGAGAGAGAGAGAGAGAGAGAGAUUGAGAUUUAGACACAUCACCAUAUGUUCUAGACCUGAACUUUGGCUCAAAUAUAUAAGCCCCAAUUUAUGGCCCCAAGUGCCUUUCCCACAUUCUGGUCACUCUCUGGAAACAUAUGGGUUGAGGGUCUCAGCUUUGUUUUCCAGAAUUUCUGAAAACAAUUUUCAGGGGUUUUUUUGUAGAUCCCUGAGAGAAGGUUUGCUGUGCCUGAAACAUGUUGCAUAUUAAAUCGUGUCUUAGAUAUAUUGGGGCACCUUUUUCUUUCCUUUAAAAAUAAAAUACAGGUGCAGCUUAUUUUUGUCAUUUCAACGCAAAACCCAGCAAUUCUAGAAGAUGAGGGUGGGGGCAGGGAGAACACCCUGUAGUACUGGGGACAAGAAGGAUUGUUUCUGCAUGUACUGUAGGAGUUGAUCUCUCUCAAUCUCUCGAAACAGCCUGUCAAACUGGUCAGACCAGACUGAGACCUGCUUUUGCCACCCCUCAGGCAUCCUUCCCAAGGACUGGUGGUUCUCUCAAAUCAUUUGUUUUCCAUGACCAAGAGCUCACUUGAUUAUGUUUUCAAAAUGUAGGCAUUUCCAUUUUUAAU